GGCCUCGGGACGCAGCAGUGGGGGAUAUUGCACAAUGGGGGAAACCCUGAUGCAGCGACGCCGCGUGGGUGAAGAAGCGCCUCGGCGCGUAAAGCCCUGUCAGCAGGGAAGAAAAUGACGGUACCUGAAGAAGAAGCCCCGGCUAACUACGUGCCAGCAGCCGCGGUAAUACGUAGGGGGCAAGCGUUAUCCGGAUUUACUGGGUGUAAAGGGGGCGCAGACGGCGAUGCAAGCCAGGAGUGAAAGCCCGGGGCCCAACCCCGGGACUGCUCUAGGAACUGCGUGGCUAGAGCGCAGGAGGGGCG
rnacentral:rRNA from 1 species